rnacentral:rRNA from 1 species
GACGAACGCUGGCGGCGUGCUUAACACAUGCAAGUCGAACGAAGAGCGAUGGAAGCUUGCUUCUAUCAAUCUUAGUGGCGAACGGGUGAGUAACGCGUAAUCAACCUGCCCUUCAGAGGGGGACAACAGUUGGAAACGACUGCUAAUACCGCAUACGAUCUAAUCUCGGCAUCGAGGAUAGAUGAAAGGUGGCCUCUACAUGUAAGCUAUCACUGAAGGAGGGGAUUGAGUUUGAUUAGCUAGUUGGAGGGGCAAGGGGCCACCAAGGCGAUGAUCAGUCGCCGGUCUGAGAGGAUAAGAGGCCACAUUGGGACUGAAACACGGCCCAGACUCCUACGGGAGGCAGCAGUGGGGAAUCUGCCGCAAUGGACGAAAGUCUGACGGAGCAACGCCGCGUGAGUGAUGACGGCCUUCGGGUUGUAAAGCUCUGUUAAUCGGGACGAAAGGCCUUCUUGCGAAUAGUGAGAAGGAUUGACGGUACCGGAAGAGAAAGCCACGGCUAACUACGUG